GUUUUAUAAAUAGAAUACCAUAUUCUACUUGUGAUGAUGAAAUUCGUGAAAAUAUUUCACAGCUUUUACUUCAAGUGAUUCAAUUGCCACUCAGAUUUUAUGGAGUUGGACUUUUCCAGUUUGGUUUCAAAUUUCUUUACGGAUUCUCAUCUUCUAUCAUGACUGUCGUGGUCAUAUUAGUACAAGCGAAUGC